CAAAUUAAAUGAUAAAAUCUAAUAUAUUAAUGACAAAAGGUAAAUCGUCAUAGUAUUAGAAACAUAAUUAUCGUCACAAAUGGUCGCAAGGUAAUAUCAAAUGUAACAAUAAAUCAAACGUCACAUUAUGCUUUAUUUUUUUGUUACGUUAGUUUUCAUUAGCUAUUUAUGAAAAAAUAUCAUUAAAUGCUAUAAUUGUCACAAAAUAAAUGAUUAAAUUUAAUAUAUUAGUGAUGAAAGAUAUAUCAUCACAGUGUUGGUGGCAUCAUUAACGUUAUUAAAUCCUAUAUAUAAAAAUUUUUUUAUGGAAUAAUCUAAUGUAGUGUUCUUGCAAAUCCAUUAAAUAUUUAAAUUGGUUUUUAAAUGUGUUAUAUUCUUUAAAGUCUACCCUAAAAUCAUAUAGAAAUAAUAUUAUUUAAAAAAAAGUAAUAAUUAUGAAAUAGGUAGUUAUCGAAAUCUUACCUUCAAGCUCUCAAUCCAAAUCUUGUGUCGAGGGUGAUUAUGUUGAUGGUGAGUUUGUGUUACUUGAAGCUGCAAUAAAUAAAUAAUAGCAAACAUCAAAAUAAACGACAAUACACACAAUAAGAUCAAAACUAAUAUAAAAAACAAACUAAUCCAUUUUAUGCAUAUGAAAUUUAUAAAAUGAGACCUACCUUGUAUUAAAGAAUAGGUUUUGUCAAGAAAUUGAUAAGUAAACUUCUCGAUCUGCAAUGAUACUAAUCAUAGGAAAUAGAUAAAAGAUGGGUGGUUCAUGUUCAAACAAGUAAUCACUAUUACCUUAAACCUAUUUUUAAAUCAAUUCAGAUAAAUCAUGGAAUAAUUACAAUUGCUCUUGCUUUCAAUAAGCCUAUAUCAUUAUCACGCUUUGAUAUAUCUUGCAUCAUAGGAAUGACAUUUUAUCAUCCAAAUCAAGACAAAAAGGUAAAAGUUAUAAUGAUAAUUUAAACUAAGAUAUAAACAUACAAACAAAUAAAGCAAAAACUCAUAGACACAGCACAAGUAGCUACAUUAAAUCAAGAAUCGUAAGAACUGAGCAAAGGCCUUUUGAUAAAGAAUUUGGAGAUGAAGCUUCCUUUUUACAAAUAUAGUUGUAACUUGUUAAAAGGUGAAAUUUGUAGUGGGACUAUGAGAAUUUUUGUAACUUUGAAAUUGACAAGUAAACUUCAUAAAGACUUAGCAAAUAAAGAAAAAUCAAAUGAGUUUUAAAAAUUGAGUGAUAAAAAAAGUACCAAUUCUUACUUUUGAAUUAGGUAUCAAAGAAAGCCUAAAUAUAUAAUGAUUGCAACAUCACAAUCACAAUAGAAUUAAUAUACCAAAAGGCACCACCAACUGUAUAUAUAAUCUUGCAACAUCACAACCACAACAAAAUCAAGUAUAUACCUGAAAAUUGGGUGAUAGGCACUUGGAUUCCAGUAGCUACUAAAGCAUUUGUCAUAGUUUUAAUUUGAGCUUGAAAAAACCCAAAAGUUGACUUAUAUUACUGAAGUUCUUCCUGUGUCUUUUUAAGAUUUUCUUCUAAGCUUGUAACACUUGUAAACAAGGUUUUAGUAUUAGGUUUAGACCCGUAUCCAAGUCUUUUAAUAUAUCUCAACCUAAUACCGAACACUUCAUCCAUUAUAGCAUUAACAGUUUUAGGUUCUGCUCCUUUUUCAAUAGGAACCGAUUGUAACUCCACAUUUUUUUCUAACAUUUAAUUGAAAUUUUGGUUAACUCAAAGAACCAUACUACAAUAAUAAAAUUAUAACUCUUAGUUUAAAAUUUCUUGCAUAGGCUAUUUGAGCUUUAGGUGUUGACCAUCAUUUAUUCUUUAAGUAGUGAGUUGCCUUAAAAAAUUUCAUUUUAUUAGGUUUUUCAUGAUCCUUGUGCUACAAAAUUGUACAUACAAUAAAAGUGUUUGUGACAAAAAAAAUAUUUAAAUAGAAAACAAUAGUGUUGAACAAUUUUUUUAACUUAAAAAUUUACCAUAAAAUAACAACUAACCAUAAAAACCCUCGAUCCUUAGUUAUGAGUUAACUUGACAUUUUUUCUAACUUCCGCAUUUGUCUUACACCUCAUCUUCAUUUCAAAAAGAACGAAAUGAUAUCAAUACAUUGAUGUUUAAUAUUUGAGCAAAAUUAAUAACUGUUAUAUAAUUACCUUAAACACUUAAAUAUAAUUGUUAAUCUAAUUUCAAAGGAUAAAAACUUAAAAAAAUAAUAAUAAAAAAAUUGAUUACCAUAUGUCAAUUAAAUAUAAAAAUAAAUAAAAAAAUAAUUUGGUAUUAAGGAUCACUAAACAAAUCACAAAGCUCUUUCCAAUUUUCUUGAAUCACUAAACAAAUAAUUUGUAGAACAUAACAAUUUACACACACAAUAAACCACAACUCAAAAAUAAAUAUUCAAAUCAAUAAUAAAUAAGUUUAAUUUCCUACUCAAAAUUGUCAAGAUAUUUUCUUUCUCAAUUUAAGACACAGGUAAAUUCGAAUUUAAGUCAAAUUUGUUUAAAAAAAUAUAGCCAAAAGAGAAACUAAAAAGAACCUUGGACAGCUCCGACUUUAGCCUGCAUUUCACGUAAAGCCCCGACCUCUUCCUCCAUCCCCUUAGGUCUCUUUUUCAUGUCCUCCAAGUCCUAAAUUUUUCCAAAAAAAAAAAGUUUUUUAUCAGACAAAAAGCUAAAAAAAAAAAAAAAAAAAAAGCAAAGAAAAGGGGGCAAUCUGGGAGUUUGAAUUGGGAU
rnacentral:lncRNA from 1 species